UGGGGAAUCUUGGACAAUGGGGGCAACCCUGAUCCAGCCAUGCCGCGUGAGUGAUGAAGGCCUUAGGGUCGUAAAGCUCUUUCGCCUGUGAAGAUAAUGACGGUAGCAGGUAAAGAAACCCCGGCUAACUCCGUGCCAGCAGCCGCGGUAAUACGGAGGGGGUUAGCGUUGUUCGGAAUUACUGGGCGUAAAGCGCACGUAGGCGGACCAGAAAGUUGGGGGUGAAAUCCCGGGGGCUCAACCCCGGAACUGCCUCCAAAACUAUUGGUCUAGAGUUCGAGAGAGGUGAGUGGAAUUCCAAGUGUAGAGGUGAAAUUCGUAGAUAUUUGGAGGAACACCAGUGGCGAAGGCGGCUCACUGGCUCGAUACUGACGCUGAGGUGCGAAAGUGUGGGGAGCAAAACAGGAUUAGAUACCCUGGUAGUCCACACCGUAAAACGAUGAAUGCCAGUCGUCGGGUAGCAUGCUAUUCGGUGACACACCUAACGGAUUAAGCAUUCCGCCUGGGGAGUACGUCGCAAGAUU
rnacentral:rRNA from 1 species